AUUGUCCAAUGCUAUAAGUUGUGUGGAGGACACAUUUGGAGUGUUCGCAAACCGGUGGCGUGUGUUCAGGACCACCAUCAAUUUGGAUCCAGAGAAAGUUAGAGAUCUUGUCCUUGCCGCGACUGCGCUCCACAAUUACCUCUGCUCUCAGAAAGUCUCCAGGAUGGUCUACACACCACCAGAGAUGGUAAUGAACCUGGUCAGUGGCGUAGAGAGGCCCCUCUACCGUCAUUGAGAGUCAAUGCUGGAAACCACCAUUCACAAGAAAACAAGGUUAUGGAUGAACUCCGGUGGAUCCUCGAUCGAAGGAACUCCUGCUUCAUACCUGAACUGAAGACCCGCUGGGGGACCUUUUACAACAAGGCACAGUUUUAUGGAGUGUUCAAAAAGGUCAUGAAGCCACCGCUGCUGGACAAAGGUAAUUACUGGCUCUGUAGACAAUGGAGAAUCCCAUGAACGGAUUAAUUUUUGUUUAAAUAACUGGCUGCAGUAAAUCAAAUGAAACUAUUUUCGUUUUUAACAGUGAAGCACUCAAUCGCUAUGAUGAAGGCUUUACCAGAUAUGUUCCCAUCACCUGUGGCUCCUUCGAAGAAGUUAGGACAUGCAAGUGAGGCUAUGCUUUACAUCCUUGAGUCUGCAGAAGAAGACCCCAACACCUUUAUUCAGGCGAGACCACUCUUCAGCCCUGUCGUGACUGUCUGUGAAACCAACUGCGUACUGGCUAUUGGAACCAUGCCUGUGGUGACCUUCCCAAAAGAGGACAUCUCUGCCAGCGUGACGUAUCUCAUGGCGUGUUAUUACACCUUUCACCUCACAUAUCCCAAGUGCAUUACGACACUCCUCUCUGUGCUGCAGACAGAAGUCCUCUCGGACGCCAUUCAUGACCGAGACAUGACUUCUUCAUAGAAAAAGGCUAUGGCCGAGUGGAAAAAGUUCAUUACUGACUAGGGUUGCACAAUACAAUUUUUUUAUUUCCGGUCCCGAUAACAGAACUGUGUGUAUUGGCCCAUUCGAGAACCGAUCCGAUAACCUUUAAUAAAUAGGCAGGGCAUUUGUUGUUUAUUAUAAGAAGGUUUAAAGCACUAUGUUUGUUAUCUUCUCAUUGGUCUUACAUUUUCAUCUUGACCACCAAUGGCCUUUGUUGUUAUUAAUGGAUCCUUUGUUCUGCCCAUAUCAGCCUCUGAAUUUACUCAAUAAAGAAGUGAAAAAAAAUGGAUUCAUU
rnacentral:lncRNA from 8 species